CGACUCUUCUCUCUUAUUUCUCUCUCUCUCUCUCUCGCCGAUAGCAAACAGAAAAAAUCGAAGGCAUGGAACCAUCCGUCAUAACCGAUGCUUUGACGGCGGAGAGUGUUAUUUCCGGCGAAUCGACGAGAGCUUGGAGGCGUGGUUCGACGGUUCAUCGUGUUGCUACAAGGGAAGUGUUUGGGAGGGUGAAUCGAAAGGAAGAAUCGUUUGGGAGAGUGAAUCGAAUCAACAAAACUUAUGUCUUGAGUUCUUACACCAGUAGGAGAUGAUAGCAAGUAGAUGGGCGAUGCAAAACAAGGAAAUACACUCAGUUCCAACACACGGUAUGUGUUGUAUUAAUUGAUUAAUGUGUUUGCUUGUUUUGGAGAUUGCUAGGAUUGGUUGUUGUCUGUUUUGACAUCUUUGUGUAUAUGUUUUUGUCUGUUUUUUAAUUGUGUAUAUGUAUUGCUUUGGCUUCUAGGUGUAAAUGUUGUUGAUUGAUUUGGUUAGUCUUGGAUUAUGUCUAAGUAAUCGAUCGUGUAUUAGUAUAUUGUUGUGAUUGGAUUCUGUUGUAGUAUAUCGUAAUCGAUUGUGUAGAAGUGUAAGUUUUGUUGACUGUUUUGGAUUGUGUAGAAGUGUAAGUAUUGUUGUCUGUUUUGGAUAGUGUAUAAGUAUUGAUUUGUUUUUAUUUUGUGUUUCAUGUGUUUUGGAGUACAUGACAAGAGUUCAACGUAUGGUAAAAGUUGAAGUGUAUGGCUGAGAGAGGUUCAAGGACAAGAGAUGAGGACACGGACAUGACGUGUAUGGCUGAAAGAGGUUCAAGGACAAGAGAUGAGGACACAGACAUGAAGUGUAUGGCUGAAAGAGGUUCAAGGACAAGAGAAUAUAUCUUUGUCGUUUUUAGCACUCACCACACAUGUAUUCUCUUUUUUUCUGCACCACACCAUAAAAUGUGUAAACGAAUGGACUACAUAUUAUCAAAGUUUCUAUAAAUAACUUGCAAUCGAACACAUAUUGUUGAAUUUGUAUAACGUUUCUUCUCUU